UAAUACCCGAUGGUAUAAUCAGACCGCAUGGUCUUGUUAUUAAAGAAUUUCGGUUAUCGAUGGGGAUGCGUUCCAUUAGGCAGUUGGUGAGGUAACGGCUCACCAAACCUUCGAUGGAUAGGGGUUCUGAGAGGAAGGUCCCCCACAUUGGAACUGAGACACGGUCCAAACUCCUACGGGAGGCAGCAGUGAGGAAUAUUGGUCAAUGGGCGCAGGCCUGAACCAGCCAAGUAGCGUGAAGGAUGACUGCCCUAUGGGUUGUAAACUUCUUUUAUAUGGGAAUAAAGUUUUCCACGUGUGGAAUUUUGUAUGUACCAUAUGAAUAAGGAUCGGCUAACUCCGUGCCAGCAGCCGCGGUAAUACGGAGGAUCCGAGCGUUAUCCGGAUUUAUUGGGUUUAAAGGGAGCGUAGGUGGACAGUUAAGUCAGUUGUGAAAGUUUGCGGCUCAACCGUAAAAUUGCAGUUGAUACUGGCUGUCUUGAGUACAGUAGAGGUGGGCGGAAUUCGUGGUGUAGCGGUGAAAUGCUUAGAUAUCACGAAGAACUCCGAUUGCGAAGGCAGCUCACUGGACUGCAACUGACACUGAUGCUCGAAAGUGUGGGUAUCAAACAGGAUUAGAUACCCUGGUAGUCCACACAGUAAACGAUGAAUACUCGCUGUUUGCGAUAUACAGUAAGCGGCCAAGCGAAAGCAUUAAGUAUUCCACCUGGGGAGUACGCCGGCAACGGUGAAACUCAAAGGAAUUGACGGGGGCCCGCACAAGCGGAGGAACAUGUGGUUUAAUUCGAUGAUACGCGAGGAACCUUACCCGGGCUUAAAUUGCAUUUGAAUAUAUUGGAAACAGUAUAGCCGUAAGGCAAAUGUGAAGGUGCUGCAUGGUUGUCGUCAGCUCGUGCCGUGAGGUGUCGGCUUAAGUGCCAUAACGAGCGCAACCCUUAUCUUUAGUUACUAACAGGUCAUGCUGAGGACUCUAGAGAGACUGCCGUCGUAAGAUGUGAGGAAGGUGGGGAUGACGUCAAAUCAGCACGGCCCUUACGUCCGGGGCUACACACGUGUUACAAUGGGGGGUACAGAAGGCAGCUACCUGGUGACAGGAUGCUAAUCCCAAA
rnacentral:rRNA from 1 species